rnacentral:rRNA from 1 species
GAUGAACGCUGGCGGCGUGCCUAACACAUGCAAGUCGAACGAAGCGAUUUGGAGGAAGUUUUCGGAUGGAAUCUAAAUUGACUGAGUGGCGGACGGGUGAGUAACGCGUGGGUAACCUGCCUCACACUGGGGGACAACAGCUGGAAACGGCUGCUAAUACCGCAUAAGCGCACAGCUUCGCAUGAAGCAGUGUGAAAAGGAGCAAUCCGCUUUGAGAUGGCCUCGCGUCCGAUUAGCUAGUUGGUGAGGUAACGGCCCACCAAGGCGACGAUCGGUAGCCGGACUGAGAGGUUGAACGGCCACAUUGGGACUGAGACACGGCCCAGACUCCUACGGGAGGCAGCAGUGGGGAAUAUUGCACAAUGGGGGAAACCCUGAUGCAGCGACGCCGCGUGGAGGAAGAAGGGUCUUCGGAUUGUAAACUCCUGUUGUUGAGGAAGAUAAUGACGGUACUCAACAAGGAAGUGACGGCUAACUACGUGCCAGCAGCC